rnacentral:pre_miRNA from 7 species
UCCUCACUCAAUAUUCUGUGUGCAAUGCAUUACUGAGAAUGGGUAGCAGUCACUUUGUACUAUGAGUAACUGCAACAUCUCUCAGUAUUGUAAGGUUCAACAAAUACAAGGGUGGUAGC